rnacentral:sRNA from 1 species
ACUUUUGAAUAAAUGAUGUGGACAAAGCGGAUUAAACCACUCUAUUUCUAGAGCGGAUAACAAAUUACGCUUAUCAAAUUUAUUUCUACGUAAAAAUGAUCUGUAGUUAAGCUGUCGCAGAUAAUUUUUUUUUUUUUUAAUCCGCAUUAUUAUGGAUUAUAACUUAUCAAUGGUAACCAAAAAGCAACUCAAGCCGCAAACGGAUUCGUGCGUCCCAAGUGUCACAACUAUUCGAACUAUAUAUGAAGUUAUGUGUCUGUUAGAACUGG